AUUUCAGAUAAUGACAUGGCUAUGAGGAACAAGGAAUGGUCAUCCGAUCAUUCCAGGUGUAACUUUUAUGUAUGCGACAUACUUCAUUUCACCUCAUUUGGAAACAAUAUUUUGUUUGGCGAGGUGCUCAAGACGCUGGAAAGUAUUUGUUUUAGCCAGCAGAGUCUCUGGUCAGAUAUCCCUCUGUUCCAUUUAAAUUGACCCGAAGGACCCAUUGGAAAGCAUUGGAAAUUUGAGCAAGUACAUUCCGUAAGGUGCAAGGAAGCUCUGGUUUCUGUUGCAUUUUCCACGUUUGAUAUAUAACCACCAUCAUGUGAUUGAAAGUGGAUUGGUUAGGAAGGAGGAGUGCGGCCGCGCUUGGUGAUUAAAGGCUACAACAACGAUGUGGCUGGCUGGUUGUUGACUACUCCGUGGCGCAGAAUAUCUCCAUGGUGUCGUUAGGCCGUGGGUGUGUCCUUCGGUAUGUCCUUCUUUCUGUUGCUCUGGUCCGUUCAUUUUCUGGCGAUGCUGAGCUACAAGAAGAGACUAACGUUAGUGGGAUAUGAGAUGCUUGGUCAGAAAUUCAUAAGAUCAGCCUGUGAUGUUUCUUUCCCGGUCACAGUUGCUAGCCCCAGACCCAGCCAAUGAAGUUAGGCUGGCAUGUCAUCGUGAUCAAAACCUGAUGUAAAGUGUGCUCUGUUUUCUACAUUGCAACAUGAGAUCUGCACGAAAUCAAUCACAGAGGAAAAGAUCCUCAGAUCGACAUGAAGCAAGGACACAAGAAGGCAUGAAGAUCAACUAGCAGUCGCAUAUGAUCAUGGCGGACCUAUAUAUUGUUCAAUAUUGACGAGAAGCCGCACCUGAAAUGAUGGUGAGGUAGAAGGUACCCCUCUAAGACAGCCCUGAAAGGGAACAUGAUGUACGUGAGGACACGAGAUGUGCAUACUGGUGCCCAAUGCAAUAUUUCUUUGCUAACUUAUCUCUCACAGGCAAUAAAUAUUUCAGAUAUGCUUAUGUUCUGUCCCUUCUCCGUAAGGAUAAAAUAGUCUGACUUAAAAAAUGUAACCAAGAAACAAAUAACUGAUUCCCACAUUUGGGAGAUCCAAAAAUGUUCCAGCUUAUAUAAGAACAAAAUUUGUUGCUUCCAGUAACUAUAA